GCCAAAAACCUAGCCCCCCCCCCCCCCCACCAAUGCAUCACAAUAAUUAACAUUAAAAAUCAAAACAUUUUUAUAAUUUAGUAAAGGCGAUUGAAAAACUAUUAGGAGCUAUAUUAAGAGUACCGCAAGGGAAAGGUGAAAUAAAAAUGAAAAAAAUUUCAAGCACUCAAAAGUAGAGAUUUAACCUCGUACCUUUUGCAUCAUGGUUUAACUAGUCAAAUCAAGCAAGACGACUUAUAGUUUGACCUCCCGAAACUAGGCGAGCUACUUCAGGGCAGCUUAUUGAGCAAACCCGUCUCUGUUGCAAAAGAGUGGGAAGACCCUCAAGUAGGGGUGACAGACCUAACGAGCUUAGUGAUAGCUGGUUACUCAAGAAAAGGAUUUUAGUCCAGCCUAAAGUCUCAUUAAUAUCUUUAAAUAUAAUCACUUUAGAGUAAUUCAAAUAAGGUACAGCCUAUUUGAAACAGGAUACAACCUCAACCAAAGGGUAAUUAUUCUUAAUAACAACCAAGUAGGCCUAAAAGCAGCCAUCUUUUGAAUAGCGUCAAAGCUUAAUUGUUUACACCCUCAAUUCCAAAAAUAAUUUAGAACCCUACAUUAAUACUGAGUAAUUCUAUAUACCUAUAGAACAUUUUAUGUUAAAACUAGUAACAAGAAGAAGACCUUCUCUUAAAUGUAAGUGUAAGUCAAAAAGGACCAACCAGUGACUAUUAACAUUACUGAACAAAAAUUAGCAACCCAACAAGAAAAACCCAAUUUUCAUCAUGUUAAACUAACACAAGAGCAUUACAAGAAAGAUUAAAAGAAAAAGAAGGAACUCGGCAAACAUUAACCUCGCCUGUUUACCAAAAACAUCGCCUCUUGAAUAAAUAUAAGAGGUCCAGCCUGCCCAGUGACUCUGUUCAACGGCCGCGGUAUCCUAACCGUGCGAAGGUAGCGUAAUCACUUGUUCUUUAAAUAAGGACUAGUAUGAAUGGCACCACGAAGGUUAUACUGUCUCCUUUUUUUAAUCAGUGAAACUAAUCUCCCCGUGAAGAAGCGGGGAUAAACUUAUAAGACGAGAAGACCCUAUGGAGCUUUAAACUAAACUACACUUGCUUUUAUAUAUAAACAUUUUCAGAAUGAUUAAUACUUAUCUUAGCUUCAUGAUUUUUAGUUUUAGGUUGGGGUGACCGCGGAGUAAAAUAAAACCUCCACAUUGAAAGGGAUUUUAAACCCUGAGCAAUGAGUCACGACUCUAUGCACCAAUAAAUUGACAUCAAUUGACCCAAUACUUUUGAUCAAUGAACCAAGUUACCCUAGGGAUAACAGCGCAAUCCGCCUCAAGAGCUCCUAUCGACAGGCGGGUUUACGACCUCGAUGUUGGAUCAGGGUAUCCCAGUGGUGCAGCCGCUACUAAAGGUUCGUUUGUUCAACGAUUAAAACCCU
rnacentral:rRNA from 1 species